AUCACGUGGGGCUAGGCCACAACUUCCUUAAUAAGAUGCCUAUAGCACAAGAAUUAAAACCAAGAAUCAACACAUGGGACGGAUUCAAACUAAAAAGAUUUUUCUCAGCAAAAAAAAUAAUAUGUGAAAUGAAUAGGGAGCCUACAUCCUGGGAACAAAUAUAUCUCACACAUCAGAUAGAGCUCUAAUCUCUAGGGUAUAUAAAGAGCUGAACAAGAUAAGCACCAAAAAAAAUAAUAAUAAUCCAAUCAAUAAAUGGGCCAAGGACCUGAACAGACACUUCUCAGAAGAGGAUAUACAAUCAAUCAACAAAUAUAUGAAAAAAUGUUCAUCAUCUCUAGCAAUCAGAGAAAUGCAGAUUAAAACUACUCUAAGAUACCAUCUCACUCCAGUAAGAAUGGCAGCCAUUAUGAAGACAAACAACAACAAGUGCUGGAGAGGAUGUGGGGAAAAAGGUACACUCAUACAUUGCUGAUGGCACUGCAAAUUGGUGCAGCCAAUUUGGAAAGCAGUAUGGAGAUUCCUUGGAAAACAGGGAAUGGAACCACCAUUUGACCCAGCUAUUCCUCUUCUUGGACUAUACCCAAAGGACCUAAAAAGAGCAUAUUAUAGGGACACAGCCACAUCAAUGUUUAUAGCAGCACAAUUCACAAUAGCUAAACUGUGGAGCCAACCUAGAUGUCCUUCAGUAGCUGAAUGGAUAAAAAAAUGUAGCAUUUAUACACAAUGGAAUAUUACUCAGCAAUAAAAAAAUAAUAAGAGCAUGGCAUUUGCAGGGAAAUGGAUGGCAUUAGAGCAAAUUAUGCUUAAGUGAAAUUAGCCAAUCCCCAGAAAACAAAUGCUGAAUGUCUUCUCUGUUAUAAGGGGGUGGAGAUGACUC
rnacentral:lncRNA from 1 species